rnacentral:lncRNA from 1 species
UUUUUUUUUUUUUUUUUUUUUUUUUUUGCUUUUUGGGCCCCCACUUGUGACACAUGGAGGUUCCCAGGUUAGGGGUCCAAUCGGAACUAAAACCGCAGGCCUAUGCCACAGCCACAGCAACAUCGGAUCUGAGCCAUGUCUGUGACCUACACCACAGCUCACAGCAACGCCAGAUCCUUAACCCACUGAGCAAGGCCAGGGAUCGAACCUGCAUCCUCAUGGUUCCUAGUUGGAUUCGUUUCCACUGCGCCAUGACGGGAACUCCUGCAUAUCUCCUCCUUCAUUAGGUUCUUCACCUUUCACUUUUAAAGUGAUUUGUCUCCCUUAGUUUCAGUUCCAUCUUUGGGUACCAACAAACAUUCACAUGUAAUAUCUAACAAAUAAACACUUUAGAAGACAAUGUUAGUACAACAAGAAGAGCCAUAUACAGGGAGAAAAUAUUUGUAAAUACACAUGUGAUAAAGGACAAUUAUCCAAAAUAUAAAGAACUCUUAAAAUUCAAUAAGAAAGCAUGAAGUAGAUUAAAAAGUAGUCCAAAAACUUUAACAGACACUUCAAUGGAGAAGAUAGACAGAUGGCAAAUAGGCUCAGGAAAAGUGGAGUGUCAUCAGGGAAAUGCAAAUUAAAAUAGCCGUAAGAUACCACUAUACAUGUUUUAGAAUGGCCAAAGUCCAGAACGCUGACAAAAUCAAAUGCUGGUUUGAAUGAUCUGAAGCAAGAGCAUUCUCAUACUCUGCCCAUAGGAAAGUAGAAUAGUACAGCAACUUUGGAAGACAGUUCGAUGGUGCCUUAAACAACUAAACACACUCUUGUCAUAUAUUCCAGCAAUAUUCCUUGGUACUUAUUUAAAGUAUUCAAAAACUUAUGCCCAUACCAAAAUCUGCACAUGAUAUUUGUAGCAAUUUUAAUUUUAAUUUUAAUUAAAAUUGCUAAACCUAGGAAACGACCAAAACGUCUUUCAGAAGGUGAAUAGAUAAAGAAAUGGUGGUCCAUCCAGACAACAGAAUAUUAUUUAGUGCUACAAUAAAUGAAAUAUUAAGCCAUGAAAAGGCAUAACUUUUAAUGCAUAUUAUAAGUGAAGGAAGUCAAUAUGAAAAGACUAUAUACUAUACAAUUCCAUAUAUGACAUUCUGGAAAAUUAAUGGAGAUGGUAAAACUACAGAGACAGGAGAAAGAUCAGUGAUAAGGAGAAGAGACAAAGGGUGAACAAGGGGAGCAUGAAGGAUUCUGAGGGCAGUGAAAUGUUUUGUAUGAUACCAUGAUGAUAUCCAUCACUGUGCCAAUAAUACUGUGAAUCUCACAAAAGAUACAAUACCAGAGAUUGAAGAAACUGUAAGAAUCUCCAAUGAAAAGAAACUCUGGCCACCUCCUUUAAAAAUUUUUUUUAAAAACCCCAAAAAUAAACAAACAAAAAUGCUGAAAACCAAGCAUAAAAGAAAAUCUUUAUAAGACGGCCAAAGGAAAGGAGUAUUACCUUUAAAGGAACUAGGUAAGACUGACGGCUGAUCCAUCUUCCUUUUUUUUUUUUUGCUUUUUAGGGCCACAUCUGUGGCACACAGCAGGUGGAGGUUCUCAGGCUGGGGUCUAAGAAGAGCUACGGCUGCCAGCCUAUACCACAGCCACAGCAAUGCCAAAUCCGAGCCACAUCUGUGACCUACACCACAGCUCACAGCAACGCCAGUGGCCUUAACCCACUGAGUGAGGCCAGGGAUCGAACCCGCAACCUCAUGGUUCCUAGUCGGAGUUGUUUCUGCUGUUUCAUGAUGGGCAUUCCAGAUCCACAUUCUUUAUAUAAGCAUCAGGGAUAGUAAAUACAAUGCUCAAUGUAUAAAAAGAAAACAAAAACAAAAACAAAAACAAAAAACAAAAAAAACAAGGGUGUUCAAUAACUGCCACAUUAUAUGUAUAUACAUAUAUUUACAUAUAAUACAUACAUCAUUAUUCCAACGUGAAAAGCAGACAAAGUUAGUCUAUGGUAACAAAAGUGAGACAAGAGGUUACUACAGGGUGGUGGCGAAGAGUGAUGUCUGGAAGGGACCAGAGGCAAGAUCUCAUACACCUGGAAAUAUUCUAUAAUUCAAUUUGUAUAAAAACAAAAAACUGGAUCAGUAAAUAUGUUAACUUCGUAAAAAUUCAUCAUGCUAUACAAUUAAGAACUGCGCACAUUAUGUGGGGUUUUUUGUUUUGUUUUGUUUUCGAAUUUCCUUUUUCACGUUAAGAUUUUAUUUUUAUAGCAUUAAUAGGUUCACAGCAAAAGUGAGGGGAUGGUACAGAGAUUUCCUAUAUAUGCCCCAACUAUUCAGCACAAUUCCCAAUCUUUCGAAAAGCCCAGGGGUAUAUAUACUAAUACUAUAAUUGAAUCCCUCUUGGUGGAAGAAAGAUCUAAGAAAAGGUUUUGCUCCUCAGGAUAAGGUUGACCCUGGUUCAAUUUCUAUUAUCAAAUACGUCUCUUUGUCUAGUAACCAAGAGUUUUAUAUCUUUCCUAUUAUUUCACUGGGAAAAUGGCUAUUUCUGAACAAUUUUAAAAAGGAGAAAUAAUACAAAAAGAAUGCUUUUCCUGCAUAGGAAAAAUAAAGUCUUUCUAAACAGAAUUCUCUGAAAAUUAGAUUUUAGGAAAAGAACUUGAUGAAGACCAUCGCAUGGUAUUUCCCACCCUCAAAAUUCACCUUUGAAAGGACUCUGAAUAUGGAUCCACACAACAUCACAAAACAUCAUAGUUUUAAAACUGCUAAACUGCAAGUCAGGUCACAUAUCCAUGCUUGCAGGCAGAAACGGAGGACAACGUUACAAAUUCAAAUUACAUUAUAAGUGGUGUUUAAAUUCCUAAAAUUAAUAACAUGUAGUUUCCAAAUACUCAGGCAUGUUUCUAUGCUUACUGGCAAGGUUUGGCAUUAUUCUUUUACUCAUCACCUUGCCAGAUAGGAAAUUUUUCAAACAUGACUGGGAUUUAUAAUAUUUUAAAUUCUACAUUUUAAGAGGGCUUUGAUUAUGCAAUAAAAUCCUGAUACAUUAAGAGAUUCACAAAACAGAGGAAGAGUUUAGUCUGUUUUUAAAUUUUAAUCACAAAUAAGUUACUUUACCCAACUUAUCUUUAAUCUUUUCACUAAUGAAAACCUGAGGAGAAGGUGAAUUUAUCUGCACAGGCAGAGGAUUCUGAUAUACCACUUGAGGAAAGUGAAGUAAACCAAGCUAAAAUUCACAUUUAAAGCACCACCUAAAUGUAAAAUCUUAUAGGAAUCCCUAUUACCUUAACUCUUCAUCUCAUGUCCUAUCAGGAGAGUCUGUUAGGAAUUCACCACCAUCUGGUAGAACAGUGGUUCCAUUACUUAUCUACUGAUUGGACCUCGACUACCUUCGCAAGAAACACCUGGGGAGCAUUUUCAAAACCUAGAUUCCUGGAUUCUAUUGAAGAAUAACUGCAUCGGAUUUCAGGUAGGUAAAAUAGCUCAAAAAAUCUCUAUUUCGA